UUCUUGGAAAAAUGUUUAUCAGUCUCUCCGGGAAUUGCAGCAACUGAUGUCAUACAUUCUGGCUGUCGUGCUCCAAACGUGCCUUGAAUGGUCGUUUAUAAAAAUGCCAAACAGCAGUGGACCCAACACCGACCCUUGCGGUACACCACUAGUAGCUGGGCUCCAGGAUGAACAUUUCCCAUCAACUACCACCCUCUGUCUUCUUUCAGCAAGCCAAUUUCCGAUCCAAACUGCUAUGUCUCCUACAAUUCCAUUCCUCUGCAUUUUGUACAAUAGCCUACUGUGGGGAACCUUAUCGAGUGCCUUGCUGAAAUCCAUAUACACCACAUCAACCGGUUUACUCUCAUCUACCUGUUUGGUGACCUUCUCAAAGAACUCAAUAAGGGCGUAGUACUCAUGUGAAACACAUCACCCUGUGGUUUCACAAUGCCUUUUGGAACAUUGACUGUGCAUCUACCUGACAUAUAUGAAAGAAGCAUCGUUGCUCCACUGGAACACAAUACAUCAGGAAAUUUAUAGCUGUAAUUGUACGAAAGAAAAACAGUGACAAGAAAAUUAUGCAC